AUGGCUGGAAGACGGACUCCCGCCUGCCAAAACAGAUCCCUCACCGCUCAGGGAAUGCAGGCCCAGCUUGGUCACCAACAUUUCCUCGUCUGCCUCCAAGCUGGUGACCGUUGCAGGGCCGGGACUCCAAAUCCCUGCCUUCUUGCCAUCCAGCUGGCUGGGGCUGGAAAAAAACGGGGCGAGAGGGGUGAGAAAGCGGGGCUGGGCACAGACUUUGGAGGCAAGAUGCUGCCCCAAGGCUCCUGCUUACCACACGCCGAGGAUGGUGGGCAGCAGCAGCUCCUCCAGCGGCUUCCCCAUGCAGCUCUGCCUGAUGAGGUUUUUGGCCACAAACUCCUGGGAAUGAGGACAAACGAGCCUGUUGCUGCUCGCCAGCCCUCAGCACCAACAAGCCGACUUGAUCCCUUGGGUCCCCAGAGCCCCAGCAAGCCCCCAGUUUCCCCUAGAGAUGGGUUUGCCAGAUCCCCUGGAGCACACCAGAUCCCCCCAGCCACCCCAAACCCCUCCGUCCAACCCCCAGAGGCUUGCGCAGCCACCAACAUCACAGCUAUAAACCCUCCAGGGCCGGGGUGGAUCCAGACAGGAGCUGGAAACCCCGCUGCUGUACCUGUAAGGAGAAGGGCUGGGCGAAGUCCACCCGGACGCAGCCGAGGUUUCGGCGUACGGCCCAGCACGCUGCCCAGAGGCAAGUGCCGAGGCCGAAGGGCCGAGCACUGUGCUGGGAAGAGAGGGAACCAAAGCGUUAACGGGGUGAUGGAGACAGGCACCGCUCCCCGGGCACGCAGCCGGCAAUUUGGGUGCUGCGCCCACACCAGCAAGACCUCUCACCGCUCCUUCCUGGUGCAAACCGCCAGGGACCACGUCGUAGGAGAUGCCCACGGGGACCAGGAGGACGUCGGGGACGGCGCCGUCCCGCACGGCUUGGUACACCAGGGUCAGCCACUCGCGGGCAGGGGCAGAGAGGCACAGGGUGACGGGGGGCUCUUCCAGGAAGAUGAGCAGGGGCUGUUGGCUGCUCAGCACCACCUCGAUGUACUGGUGGGGAAGACGGGGUGA
rnacentral:lncRNA from 1 species